rnacentral:piRNA from 1 species
UGUCUAACGUAACUAGUAUCGGCACACCUC